rnacentral:rRNA from 1 species
UCCUGGUUGAUCCUGCCAGUAGUCAUAUGCUUGUCUCAAAGACUAGGCCAUGCAUGUCUAAGUAUAAACAAUUAUACAGUGGAAACUGCGAACGGCUCAUUAAAUCAGUUAUCGUUUAUUUGAUAGUUUUCUACAUGGAUAACCGUGAUAACUUCAAAUUAAUACAUGACAGCCUUCUGGCGUAUAUAAUUGAAUACAAACCAACAGUGGUGAUUCAUAAUAUCUUGUCAGGGCCGGUCUUCGGUGUAUCAUUCCAAAUUUCUGCCCUAUCAGCUGUCGAUGGUGGGAUCAUUGGCCUACCAUGGUAACAACGGGUAACGGGGAAUCAGGGUUCUAUUCCGGAGGAGCCUGAGAAACGGCUACCACAUCCAAGAAGGCAGGCGCAAAUUGCUAAUCCUGACACAGGGAGGGUAGUGACAAUAUAUAACGAAUCGGGGCUCUUUGAGUUUCGGAAUUGGAAUAGUGAAUUGAACACCUUAACGAGGAACAAUUGGAGGGAGCAAGUCUGGUGCCAGCAGCCGCAGUAAUUCAACUCCAAUAGCGUAUAUAUUAAUGUUGUUGCAGUUAAAACAAGUAGUUGAAAUUGGGCGGGCUAUUGGUUUUAGGCCGCUUCAGGAAGAACUUCUUCCAGUUACUUUGAAAAAAUUGAGUAAUUCAACGCAGGUUUCGCCUGAAUAUAUUAGCGGAAUAACAUAACGACGAGGGUCCAUUUGUUGGCUUGCAAGCCCAUAUUGAUUAAUAGGGACAGUCAGGGCGUCGGUAUUGUGUGUUGUCAGAGGUGAAAUUCUUGGAUUUACACAAGACUAACUACUGCGAAGGCAUUCAUAAGGAUGUAUUCAUUAAUCAAGAACGAAAGUUGGGGAUCAAAAGAUGAUCAAGAUACCGUCGUAGUCUUAACCGUAAACUAUGCCGACUGAGGAAUGGAACCGCUUAUACGGUAUCCGCGCUCUACAAUCAAAGUGAUCAGGUUCUGGGGAGUAUGGUCGCAAGGCUGGAAACUUAAAGGGAAUUGGAAGGGCACCACCAGGGUGGAGCCUGCGGCAAUUGACUCAGGGAAACUCACCAGGUCCAGACUACAAUAGAUUGACAGAUUGAUAGCUCUUUCUUGAUUUUAUUAGUUGGUGGUGCAUGGCCGUUCUUAGUUGGUGGAGUGAUUUGUCUGCUUAAUUGCGAUAACAGGCGAGACCUUGACCUACUAAAUAGCUCUACGCGGAGUUGCAGGUAGCUAGCUUCUUAGAAGGGACUAUCUAUUACAAGUAGAUGGAAGUUCGAAGAGGCAAUAGCUGGGUCUGAUGCCUUGAGCGUUCUGGAGCCGCACGCGCGCUACACUGACGGAGCCAGCGAGUCGACCAAGCCGGAAGGGCUAGGUAAUCUUAUUGAAACUCCGUCGUGCUGGGGAUGAGAGCAUUGCAAUUAUUGCUCUUCAACGAGGAAUUCCUAGUAAGCGCAAGUCGAUAAAGCUUUUACGUUGAUUACGUCCCUGCUGGCCGCACACCGCCGUCGCUACUACCGAUUGAAUGGUUGGUGAGACGGGGAGGGCGAGAUGAAAUCAACAAGGUUCGUGGGUGAACCUGGAAGGAUCAUUA